CCAGAAUGAUGAGCAGCUUUCCCCUUUCAGAGAGCAGAUGCUGGAAGAAGCUGAUGGUUGCUCCAGGAUCCUUCACAUAGUACAGCAUCUGUGGGGUUUUAACCACACAAUGAGCAGUGCUGCCUAAUGAUUCGGAUAUGACAAAGACAGAGAGCUGGAAGUUCCUCAACACCAACCUGAACCAUGUGGAUGAAGUCUGCCUUCUUCGUCAUCUUCUUCAGCUUCCAGUGCUCCUCAAACUGAGCCGCAGUCAUCUGGUUCCAGUUGAAUUUAAUGAAGCCCAACUCUGGUUUCUGCCCCACUAAAACUUCAGAGAGAUGAGAAACAAUCCGACUUCAUGUCUGUACUUGACAUUGAAAAUAAACUCAAAACCUGUACAACUUCUUAAUGCUGAAUUCAACACAAUAUUUUCAAUCAUUUCUACAAACAGCCUUUAUUAUCGCAUAAAAUAUAGUGAAAUGUGCUUUUGCAGCACUAUGAGUAAAGUAAAAAGAUGAAAAAAACAACAACAAUUACAUGGAAAGAAGUGAAGAGGCGUUAAAAGAGUGUAAGCAAGAAAAAAAGAAAAGGAGUAGAACACUUUGGUUAGAGCAGCCAUGUUUUUCUUUGGUUUAGAGACAGGAGGUGGAGCUGGAUGAAGAUGUUGAGGUUCUCUUUAGGACCAGGAUGGAGAGGACCAGGAAUGAAUCCAUCAGAGAAACAGAUCAUGGUAGAUGUUUUGGAGAUCAAUGCAGGGAAGCAGAUGGAGAUGAGAGGAGGAACAGGAAUGAUGUUGGUAAAAUAAUGCUGAGAUUAGAGCUACCAGGAAAGAGAACCAAAGGAAGACCAAAGAGGAGGUUCAUGUAAGUAGAGAAGGAGGACAUGAAGGUGAUUGGCAUGACAGAGGAGGAUGGAGAGGAGAGGGUUAGAUGGAGGCAGAUGACUCAACCCCUAAAGGAAGCAGCAUUUAGAUCAAAAACAGGACAGUCAGAAAAUACAGUUAUCUUUUUCCUUUCUUCUAAAUACAAUUUCCAGAUCCUACAUUUUAAACACAGACAUCCAACAAUAUUUACCCCAGAAUACUUAGAAUUUUAAUAAUAUUUAAUGUUACCAUGGUGUUGCUGUAAGGAUUCUGUGGUUUAGUUCAGUAGUUCAGUGGUGUUUUCGGUCAUUGUCUGUUCUCUAUCAGUCUCUCUAGGUUCAUGUUUAUCAUCCGCAGCUUUUCGUUUCUGUUCAUUGUCUUCAGUCAAUAGAAGUAUUUGCUUUUCAGUUCUAUUGUCAGUUCACCUGUUUUUUGUUUCUUUACUGUUUUUGUCCUGUUGAAGUUUAUUUACUAAAUGUUUUACGUUUCUGCCUCCAAGCCCAGUUUCCUGCUGGUACAUCUCCAGUUCCUGACAGCUGUAUCUAAUGUGACUUUGGUUCCAUGUUGGGAUUCACAGCUAAAUUCUCUUUUACAUCUGGUUCUCUAAACAUAGGCUUUUGUUGUGAGUGUAAAUAUUUUUAAUACAAAUACAUGUUGAAGCUGAAUGAUACAGAGUUUAAAGAAGGCAAUUGUAAUCAGAAAAUAUUACGUGAAACGGAUACCCUUAGUGUCAGACCUGUAGUAAGGAAGCUAUGAACUUGCCAUAAAUACUGUUCAUUUAUUUGGAAAA